AACGAACGCUGGCGGCAUGCCUAACACAUGCAAGUCGAACGAGACCUUCGGGCCUAGUGGCGCACGGGUGCGUAACGGGUGGGAACCUGCCCAUAGGUUUGGAAGAACUUCCCGAAAGGGGUGCUAAUACCGGAUAUAGUACUCGGUACAAAGGUUUAUAGCCUUUGGAUGGGCCUGGGUCGUAUCACCAAGUUGGUAGGGUAAAACCCUAUCAAGGGGUCGAUCCAUAGCUGGUUUGAGAGGAUGAUAACCCACACUGGUGCUGAGACACGGCCCAGACUCCUGCGGGAGGCAGCAGUGGGUGAUAUUGGACAGUGGGCGAAGUCCUGAUCCAGCAAUGCCGCGUGAGUGAUGAAGGCCUUAGGGUUGUAAAGCUCUUUUACCCGGGAUGAUAAUGACAUUACCGGGAGAAUAAGCUCCGGCUAACUCCGUG
rnacentral:rRNA from 1 species